rnacentral:pre_miRNA from 1 species
UAACAUCUGCAGGCUGGCCGUGCCCCAAGCUGGGCUGGGCGAGUAUCUCUUCAAAAGACUCACCCUCAAGCACGACUAGGAAC